GGUACAGAGGGCGAGCUAGCCAGUGAUGGCAUGCGAAUCUCGAAAGCCUAUCUCAGUUCGGAUUGGAGGCUGAAACCCGCCUCCAUGAAGUUGGAUUCGCUAGUAAUCGCGCAUCAGCCAUGGCGCGGUGAAUACGUUCCCGGGCCUUGUACACACCGCCCGUCAAGCCAUGGGAGCCGGGGGUGCCUGAAGUUCGUUACCGCAAGGAUCGACCUAGGGCAAAACUGGUGACUGGGGCUAAGUCGUAACAAGGUACC
rnacentral:rRNA from 1 species